rnacentral:rRNA from 1 species
UUCCAGACUCCUACGGGAGGCAGCAGUGGGGAAUAUUGCACAAUGGGGGAAACCCUGAUGCAGCGACGCCGCGUGAGUGAAGAAGUAUUUCGGUAUGUAAAGCUCUAUCAGCAGGGAAGAAGAAGGACGGUACCUGAGUAAGAAGCCCCGACUAACUACGUGCCAGCAGCCGCGGUAAUACGUAGGGGGCAAGCGUUAUCCGGAUUUACUGGGUGUAAAGGGAGCGUAGACGGCGAAGAAAGUCUGAAGUGAAGGCCCGCGGCUCAACCGCGGAAUGGCUUUGGAAACUUUUUUGCUGGAGUACCGGAGAGGUAAGCGGAAUUCCUAGUGUAGCGGUGAAAUGCGUAGAUAUUAGGAGGAACACCAGUGGCGAAGGCGGCUUACUGGACGGUAACUGACGUUGAGGCUCGAAAGCGUGGGGAGCAAACAGGAUUAGAUACCCCAGUACUA